AUGGUGGCUCCCAGCCAUGGGCUGCGAUGCCCCUACCCCCAGGGCCACCAGCCCCUUCUCAUGCCGGGCAGUCGCCGAGCUGAAGCUGCAUCUGGGGAGCCCACGGGCACGAGGCUGCUGGACAUGGGGAAACCAGGCCCAGGCAGUGCAGGCCUGCACCAGCCCAGCCAGCUCCCAGGCCCCUGCUCUGCCAGAGUAAAAGAAGGCCCGGGAAAGCUCAAAGGUCCUGGCCCUGGCGCUUUUGCUACUGGGUGAGAUUCAGUUCCUGCUUAAGUGAAUGCUAAAAUUCUUCAAUGUCAAUACAGACAUGAUUUCACCCAACAAUUUCAUCAUAAUACUUCAGCUAGCAAUUCUGAAAAAGGACCGUAUGCUGGUGCUGCAGCUCCAUUAGUGAAUUACAGCCAUCAAAAUUGUUUGUAAAAACUAUUAUUAAAAUUAUUAAAGUGAUUUAUUAAAACUAUGUUGCUAUGUUUCUUAGAAUACUGAUUUAGAGAGGCAAUACUCCUAAUAAGAAGGUGAAACAGGAUUGGGGUACAUAAAGACAUAUCUGCUCUGGAUGCAUUGAGUCUCAAAACACCCACAGCCCUGACAGAGCAUCUCUGUGCAUAGAAAUGAUUUACCUUUGACAGACUUUAAUCAAGAAUAAUACCCAAGCUCUAGCAAGAAAAGCAGGCAGGUACCAGAUUACCCUCUAAUUAAACAGAUGAGGUCAAAUACUUAAAAUUAAUUAAUACCUUAAACCCUUGGGUUUAAUCUCCAGACAGGGACUCUAUAAGGGAAUCACUAGAUACAUAAAUUAACUUUCAAAAGAACAACAUCAGUGUAUAGCAGUUCAUUUGCUUUACAACAUUACUUCCAGAAAUUCAUAUUUAGCACCCAUAUACAUAUUGGCACACAUUACACUGAUUUGUAAUUAAAAGAUGAUUAUUAAGGUUACAGUGCUAAACUGUGAGAAAUUAGGCACAUUAAAGCUGAGAAUGAGACCUUGCUCAGCUUCAUUGCACAAACGUAUUAUGAAUCGGUUUUCAGCAACAAGAACAGGGCAAACCUGCCACUUGUAACAUCUCCCCUUUCACUGUUGACUUACAGUCUUCACUUUCUCCUUCUCCCCAGCUCCCCAUUCCCUGCCAAUCCAAUAUUGCAGUCUGCUCUCUGGGCAAAUGAAAUCCCACUCUAUCCUACAGCUCUCCUUCUCACAGACAUCAAGCCUUGUUGCCACAGUAAUUGUAUCAUACAAGUUCUUCCUCUGGUAUCUGGAAACUGACACCAUCAUCAUACGGUACCGAGGAAAGUAAAUCCCUGUGUUCACGGAUCUGGAGGUUCAGACCUCCAUAAGUAAAGGGUCUAAUGGGAAGGAAAGUCCUUCUCAAAGCUGGAACAUGCUCAAUGCAGACAAUAUUCAAGGAACUCAGUUUCCAAAUCUGAUUAUUCCUCCUAGUCUUAGAGAACUCACAUAUUUUCAAACACUCCAAGCCUGGCAAAAUUCAGAUAUUCUUUUAGAGAAAUGGUGAAAGGCACAUAUCACAGGCACACAGGAUGAAUUUUAAGUCUCCAUAUUUAGGACUCCUCAAAGAAUACUUCGCCAAAAUGCCUUAAGAAGGUUAACGUGAUAGCUUUACUUGUUUCCUUAAAAAUAAAUAAAUAAAUAAAUGAGUCUACCA
ensembl:lncRNA